rnacentral:lncRNA from 1 species
GGUUGUUGUGGUUCAUACAUGUUCCUCGUUUUAGUUUGUUUUUAUAUGAAGACUAAACGUUGGUUUUUCCUGUUUGAAUUGCUACAUUAGUCACUUGUGUGUCCUUGAUAGCUUGCUGGUCAGUGUAAGACAAAGUUCUGUGUUAAAGGUCUUACUUUAACCUAUAAUUGUUUACUUUUUACAUUUUAAUUAAAGGUAAAGAAGAUU